rnacentral:rRNA from 1 species
AUUGAACGCUGGCGGCAGGCCUAACACAUGCAAGUCGAGCGAGCGGCGGACGGGUGAGUAAUGUAUGGGGACUGCCCGAUAGAGGGGGGGAACCACUGGAAACGGUAGCUAAUACCGCAUACUAUCGGAUAACCCAUAUGGGAUGAGCUAGUCGGUGAGGUAAUGGCUCACCUAGGCGACGCUCCAUAGCUGGUCUGAGAGGAUGAUGAGCCACACUGGUACUGAGACACGGCCCAGACUCCUACGGAGGCAGCAGUGGUGAAUAUUGCACAAUGGGCGCAAGCCUGAUGCAGCCCUGCCGCGUGUAUGAAGAAGGCCCUAGGGUUGUAAAGUACUUUCAGUCGGGAGGCGUUACCGACAGAAGAAGCACCGGCUAACUCCGUGCCAGCCGCCGCGGUAAUAC